CUUACUUUUAUAAAAAGUCCAUUCUUACGUUAAUGCACAAAGUGUAUUUUGAAACUUUGUGUCAAUCUGUUUGAGAACUUUCCUCUGAAAAGACAACUUCUAGGUCAACUCGCUUUCCUAAUCAAUUUAAUAUCAUUAGGUUUAAAUCUGUUACUGGAUUAGAAGUACAGAGUCCCUGUAAUCUGGAAUUUUUGGAAUAGACUAGUUAAAGUGCCUGAAAAUUUUAAUUCCUAUAAGCAGAUAUUAAAGAAACACACCAGGGACAUUGUGGAGUAUUCCUUUAGCAAGGAAGCGACAUUGAUCACCACAAAAAAAGAUGAUUUUAUAUACUUUUAAGCAUUUUAUUUUCUGGUAUUAUAUUAGUAUUUCAAUUAAUAGGCGCUUGUAAAUCUCAGUUUUUUGCAUAUAUAUAUAUUGUUUUCUCCCUGUGCAUAGCUUUUAUUCUUUUGUUAAUAUCUUUUGUGUUUGUCAAAUUUUGAUUGUGUAUAGUAAGCCCACAUCAGCCCUUCGGCUGCCAAACAAUCUCAACCUACUUAUCAAAUAAAGUUUACCUACCUACAAUGCAUUUUUCUUACUUUUCAUAUUUUGGCCCUUUCUAUACUGAGAUCUUUGAUUGCACAUUUACAGAAUGCAGACUACACUAACCAUCAAAUAGCAGAUCUCUCUGAAAAACUAGAACAAGCUGAAUCUCAAGUUGGUCGCAUGGGAAGUUUCAUGAUGGGUAUGGAUCAAGACAAGAAGGAGGAAGGAAAGUUGGCAAAAACCACCAGAGACAGCUCAAAAACAUCCAUUGAGGCUAUUCAUGGUCUCAUGUCCCAAGUCAUUAAAAAUAAACUCUUCAACCAAGUUGGUGGAAAGGAGUCAACUUAAAUUCCCAGUAAACCUGGUGCUAAGAUUUUAAUGUUAUUUACUGGCCUUGAGAUUGUUAUAGAAAACCAUGAUGUAAAUGUAAAUAUGUUUGCAGAAUAAAGAGUUAAGUUUGUAGCAUA